rnacentral:rRNA from 1 species
CCUACGGGUGGCAGCAGUGGGGAAUAUUGGACAAUGGGCGCAAGCCUGAUCCAGCAAUGCCGCGUGGGUGAAGAAGGUCUUCGGAUUGUAAAGCCCUUUCGACAGGGACGAUGAUGACGGUACCUGUAGAAGAAGCCCCGGCUAACUUCGUGCCAGCAGCCGCGGUAAUACGAAGGGGGCUAGCGUUGCUCGGAAUUACUGGGCGUAAAGGGCGCGUAGGCGGUUCUGUUAGUCAGGCGUGAAAUUCCUGGGCUUAACCUGGGGGCUGCGCUUGAUACGGCGGAACUGGAGGAUGGAAGAGGCUCGUGGAAUUCCCAGUGUAGAGGUGAAAUUCGUAGAUAUUGGGAAGAACACCGGUGGCGAAGGCGGCGAGCUGGUCCAUUACUGACGCUGAGGCGCGACAGCGUGGGGAGCAAACAGGAUUAGAUACCCCAGUAGUC